ACUUACCUAAAGGAAGAGCAGGAACGGACACAUUGCGUGGCGAUAGAUGAUUGUAUAAGAAAGAACUCGUUACAUUUCCGAACGAAACGUUCGCAAAGUCUUGCAUUGAUUUAAAGGGAGGAAAUACACGAAAAUUCAUCAUGAACCAGUCACAUUUCUGGCUCUUUGUUGCCACCUCUGUUCUGUUUGUGAUGUUAUCACAGUCAUCUUUCUUGGAUAACUUGGAUAAAUUAAGCCCUAUACAAAAGCGAGAAAGUAUUAACAUUCAAGAGUUCUUAGCCUGGAUUUCAUUGGGUGGGAAACGAGUCGGUCGAUGUGAAGAGAUUGCUUGCGGACUUGUGGGCCCGGAUGCGAGUGGCAAAAAGAAAAGAGCUGCAAGAGCAUUGAAGGAAUCAGUGCAAGCGUAAAAACUUGAACAGGAAAAUUCCUCAGAGAAGUUACACACACCGACAACUACAUUCGAUGAGAUUUAAAUAAAUAUUAGAUACUUUUAUCAGAAUUAAACAAUGCAAUUUUUUUUUAGUUUAUUGGUCAUUAAUUGGAUAAAAAAUGAAUGCAUUUCAGACAUUGUUUACAACUAAGUAUGUAGUGAAAAUAAAAUUUAAUU